GCGAGUCAUUGUAGUAAUACAAGGCAGACGGCUCAGUAACGCGUACCCUACCUAACCUAUGGACGGGAAUAACCUCGGGAAACUGAGCAUAAUGCCCGAUAGAACAUUAUACCUGGAAUGGUUUAUGUUCGAAAUGAUUUAUCGCCGUAGGAUGGGACUGCGGCCUAUCAGUUUGUUGGUGAGGUAAUGGCCCACCAAGACUAUUACAGGUACGGGCUCUGAGAGGAGUAGCCCGGAGAUGGGUACUGAGACACGGACCCAGGCCCUAUGGGGCGCAGCAGGCGAGAAAACUUUGCAAUGUGCGAAAGCACGACAAGGUUAAUCCGAGUGGUUUCUGCUAAAGGAACCUUUUGUCGGUCCUAGAAACACCGAUGAAUAAGGGGUGGGCAAGUUCUGGUGUCAGCCGCCGCGGUAAAACCAGCACCUCAAGUGGUCAAGAUGAUUAUUGGGCCUA
rnacentral:rRNA from 1 species